UUUAUUUCAUGAUUAAUACAAUGUCGACACGCAGGCGGAGAGAUCAUCCUCUCGCCUGUGUGUCAGCACUGUAUUGAACAUGAAAUUAU
rnacentral:pre_miRNA from 1 species